rnacentral:rRNA from 1 species
GACGAACGCUGGCGACGUGCUUAACACAUGCAAGUCGAACGGAAAGGCCUGCUUUCCCUUGUGGAUUGCGGGUACUCGAGUGUCGAACGGGUGAGUAACACGUGAGUGAUCUGCCCCCAACUUGGGUAUAAGCCUGGGAAACUGUGUCUAAUUCCCGAUAGGACUGCAGGGUGGUGCCUGUGGUGGAAAACGUUUUUCUUGUGGUUGGGGAUGAGCUCGCGGCGUAUCAGCUUGUUGGUGGGGUAAUGGCCUACCAAGGCGGCGACGGGUAGCCGGCGGGAGAGGGUGGAAGGACAAAGUGGGACAGAGAAACGGCGAAGACUGCUACGGGAGGAAGCAGUGGGGAAUAAUGGACAAUGGGCGGAAGCAUGAUGCAGCGAGGCAGAGUGGGGGAUGACGGGCUUCGGGUUGUAAACUCCUUUCGAAAGAGAGGAAGCCACCUGGUUGGAAGGGUGGUGACGGUAGUGGUAGAAGAAGCACCGGCUAACUACGUG